GCGGGGCGCGCGGUAACAGUGUCUUAGUAGGCAGGCUGGCUGGUGUGUCGGGCUUCAGGGGGCAUGGCGGGGAACCGGCGCAGAGGUGAGCGGUCGGCGUAUCUGCCGCGGGGUCGGCGUCUCCGCGGAGCUGGGUCUCGUUCCGAGCUCGCGCCAGCUUUCUCGACCUCGUCUAAAAAACCCCAGCAGGGUGGUUCGCGGAGCUGCGGUGGGGAUGUGUGUGGGAGGGAGAGACACGCCCGGAGUAAGGCUGAAGGAAAGAUCAUGCAGUAGCUGAGUUCCACAUCCGUGGUGGCCCGUGUCGCUUAAGGGGUGUGACGCGAGGGCCUGUGCGGAAGCGGGCGGUUCGAAUCGGGGACUCCCGCGUGAGGCAGCGGCACCUGUUGCAGGAAUCUGAAGACGCAAACGCCCGGCGGGUCAUUCUGAAGCUUCCUAAAUCCGCCGGGAACGUCGUCUGGUGUCGGAGGAGGAACAGCCGUCUGGGUCGUCGCCCUUGGUUCAGUUUAAAUCGAAGCAUAGUGAGAGGAGGCGGGCGGAGAGUCCCCGAGCUCGUUAGUGACCGAGCCACGACCAGGAGCGAGAUUUCUUCAUCUGCAGGCCAUCAUUUUGUCCUCCGCGUCUGAACUGUUUUUUUGGAUGGCUAAGCCGUCUGUUUAAGGGAGCGAAGACGGGGAUUGACCUUUCCGUGCAGAAUGAAUCCAAGAAAGGCAAAGUCGAUGCUGUGUAGCUGGAGAGGAGUCCGUCGGGUGCCUUCUGUCGUUUCCUAGAGGCCUGAGUUUCAGGGAUGCGUGCCCACCCCCCCCAGACUUCCAGCUAACUACUUACAGUCCCAGCUCUCGCUGUGAGAACAUGCUGUCACAGCCCGUGGAAAUGCUUACCUCGGAAGCCGUCUGAAUCGGACCAGCCACUGUGAGCCUGUAAAUGAGCUCUGCAGACCUCAUCGCGGCCGUGUUCUGAUGGUUUGGAGGGGAGGAGCUACAGUUCCUGCCUCUGGUUUGCGUGCAGCCGAGUGGAGCCGACCCAGGUUGCCGGUUGCAAUAUGCCACUCAAAAAGAGAUUUAUCAGCGGGGUUGCAGGUGAACAUGGCCUGGAGGUAAAUCCUGCCCCUUGUUAAAAUUUAGUUUCAGCAGAUUAUUCGUGAUAUUUUAGGAACUGGAAUAUUUUACAGAAAAAAAAGUUUUGUUUGGUUCUUUUCUACACUUAAUUUUUUCUUCUUGCAGAAGAAACAUGUUUAAACCAAAGUUUUUUACGCUGAGUAAUUAUGAUGCUUUAAGUUGUUCAUAUGCCUUGUGUAAAUUAAGUGAAUUUUAAAUGUCAAUGCUCAGUGCCAAUUUUAGUUGUUUUUUCCUUGAUCAAAUAAAAAUUUCACUCAGACCUUA